rnacentral:rRNA from 1 species
GACGAACGCUGGCGGCGUGCCUAAUACAUGCAAGUAGAACGCUGAAGGAGGAGCUUGCUUCUCUGGAUGAGUUGCGAACGGGUGAGUAACGCGUAGGUAACCUGCCUGGUAGCGGGGGAUAACUAUUGGAAACGAUAGCUAAUACCGCAUAAGAGUAGAUGUUGCAUGACAUUUGCUUAAAAGGUGCAAUUGCAUCACUACCAGAUGGACCUGCGUUGUAUUAGCUAGUUGGUGGGGUAACGGCUCACCAAGGCGACGAUACAUAGCCGACCUGAGAGGGUGAUCGGCCACACUGGGACGGAGACACAGGGCAGACUCCUACGGGAGGCAGCAGUAGGGAAUCUUCGGCAAUGGACGGAAGUCUGACCGAGCAACGCCGCGUGAGUGAAGAAGGUUUUCGGAUCGUAAAGAUCUGUUGUAAGAGAAGAACGAGUGUGAGAGUGGAAAGUGCACACUGUGACGGUAUCUUACCAGAAAGGGACGGCUAACUACGUG